CGGCCUAGUGAGGUGUAUUAAUGGCAGUGCCCAGCAGAUGUGAGAGAUGAAAAUGUAUCUGUUGUUUUCAAUGUAGGUAGAACCUCCUGCUGGGAAGAGGCCCCGAGGAAGGCCCCGCAAGUGGCCUCAGCUGGUGACACAAGGAGCAUCUCAGGAAAGUGGCCCUCAGGGAAGCGGUGACAUGGAUGUGAACCCAGCGCCUGCCAAGCAAGGUGAGGGGCUUUGGCCCCCCUGCUGUGGGAGGGCCCGGAGGAGCCGUGUGCCUCCUUGUCCUGCAGACUGGUUCUGCACAGCUCUCAGUGAGAAAGGCGUUUGUCCCAACUUCAUGUCUGCAGCAUUAAAAAGAAUUUCCAAAAUAAACAAUGACCACCUCCCUGCCUUUCAGUCAGGC
rnacentral:lncRNA from 1 species